rnacentral:lncRNA from 1 species
GAAACCAGAAAAGUCCCCUUGAAAGGAUUUUUGUGGUUAAAUCCUUAUCAAGUUGGGGAGACUUGAACAACGAUGGUCAAAGAUAUUUGAUCAUCGAAGUGGUCAUUUGGUGGUUCUGAAUCAAGCUUGUUCUAUUCUCCGAUCAAGACUAGAAUAUGUUCGGUUGGAAUAUUUUGUCUUGGGACAAGGUAUAAUCAUCACCGGAUUCGAGGAUGAAUCCAUUACAAGUGGGG